UCAAUGAUGGCAGUUCCUUGAGGUGAUGUGUGCUUGACAGGAUUAUUAAGGACCAGGCUGGGGGACAGUAUGGCUGGAGCCUAAGUAAGAAAAGGUCUUGUGAGGACACAGUGGAGAAGUAGGCAUCGACAAGAAGCCAAGAUGAAUGGUUACAGUAGAAACCAACCCUGCCUACAACCUGAUUUUGCACUACUAGCCUCAAGAACUGUGAACAGGAUAUGACUUCUCAUCUCCUGACUGAUGGUAUUUGAUGAUGGAAGUCCUGGCUGGCUAUUAUAACUCCUUUAAAUGAAUAACAGAAAAAUUCCACAUUACAAAUUUCUGUAACAU